rnacentral:misc_RNA from 1 species
UUUCCGUAGGUGAACCUGCGGAAGGAUCAUUAUUGAAUAAACAGUGUGGGUUGUUGCUGGCCUUCUGGCAUGUGCACGCCUGCCAUAUGUUUCAUUCCCUUCUUUCCACCUGUGCACUAUGUGUAGGCUAUGUAUGCUGUAUUGUCAGGCCCUUCAUAAGGCUUGGUUUAGAGAGGAUGCUUGUCUUUAUGAGACAGGCUCAUCUUGGGCGUACAGGUCUAUGUUUUACACCAACACCAAAUGAAUGUCUUAGAAUGUAUUUUUUCAGGCUCUUGCUAGCCUUUGACCCAUAUACAACUUUCAACAACGGAUCUCUUGGCUCUC